AUGUGUAUCACCAAACUCAGCCCUCUUUGUAGUAUAUUUUUUUUGGUACCUGGGGUUGAACUCAGGACCUCGCACUUGCCAGGCAGGCACUGUGGCACUGAGCUACAUCCCUGGCUAUGCAGUUUUGUUUUGUUUUUGAGACUGGGUCUCACUGUGUAGUUCAGGCUGACCUUGAACUCAGUAUGGAGCCCAGGAUGGCCUCAAACUUGCAACAAUCCUCCUGCCUCAGGCUCAUCCUCUUAAGCGCUGGGAUUACAGGCGUGUGCCACCAUGCCCCACCUACCUUUGUGGUUUUAAUGGAGCAUUUCCUCAGCUGUGUGCUGUCUUUUAAUGAGCCAAUCAAAGGCAAUCUUCAUGUUACAAUGUUUUCAAUCUAGAGAUUUCUUUUUAUUUCUUGGAGUUUCUCACUCUAGAUUGUCCAUCUGUCACUACUUGCUGUCUAUUUUCGCCUGCAGCAUAUUAAUAAUUAUCGUUUUGACCUCCCUUCCUGAUAAUUCCAACAUCCUUGUCAUCAAUGGGUCUGGUUCGGGUGCUUGCUCUGUUUCUUCACACUGUGUUCUUUGCCUUUAGUAUGUCUUCUCGUGUUUUCUUGCUCGCCAGGCAUGAGGCACCAGCACACACAGACCUGCCGUACAGACCUCAGCAAUGCUUUUGUCAGGUGUUAGGGAGGGAGGCAACCUGCAGGCGAUGAUGACUUCCCCAGUCUGGCAGUGGCCUUGUGCCUUCGGGCUGUGAGCCCCACACUCCCAGCCUGGGGGUACAGGAUGAGGUCAGUGGGCUGGAGAUGGGUCUCCUCCUUGCCCUGUGGAAGGCUGGGAGGGGCUGGACCCAAGUAUUUUAUUUCCUCCACGUGGAAAGCUAGAACAAGCAGGGUUGGGUAUUUUCCUUUCCCUAGGUCAACUGGGCUCUGAUAAAACUCCAGCUGGUUCAGUUUUAGUUAAAUAAUGUCUCCCGAGGGCAGAACUUGUUAAGAAGAAUGGAAUGCCCGAGUGUAUUUCAAGAUGGUUCCUUUCCCCAUCUCUCUGCCAGAAGCACAAUAGGGUUUUUCUCUAGUAGUCAUCGUGAGAACCUACAAGAACUCCAGGAGGUAAAACUCACAAAGUGCGGAGCCCCUGUGACUGGGCUCCCCUUGAACUUUAAUUUCACAGUUUGCCCACCCCGAGCCUGCAGUGUCUUGUCCAUUGCAGUUUCCUUACUCUGCCAGCGGAGAAAGAAAGAGAAGAUCCAAAGCAUGAAUAGUGGAAACCCUUCAGGCAAUGUACUCGUCUGGACAAAGGUCAUGGCUGGCUAUGAGCACCUGAAACUGUGGAAGGUGAAACUGCUGAUGGGGGAAAUACUGUACACUUAAAAAGAAAGACAACCAGCAUGGCCUUUGCUCCUGAGUGAAGAACUGAGGAACCACGGAAGCAGAGAGACCUCACAGCACAGCCAGGCUGUGCCUGGGCCCUGGACUCCCAGCACAGUGCUCUUUCCAGCUGACCCACCCUCCGGCUGGCUGAACAGUCCUCAGGCAAUGUCACUGCUUGGUGGAGUUUGCCUGCCCCAGACACUCCGCGGUUCCCAGCAGCAACCGUGGCCAGGGGUUUUCCUACCAAGCUGCACUUUUCUUCAUUUGUGAAAUAAAGAAAGAAAUCAAAGAUCAUGCGGGGGCUUCAGAUAUUUCUUCUUGUGCUCCUCCACACCCCCUCUCCUCCAUUCCUGUGCCUGCUCUGGCUGUGCCAGACCCAUUGUUCUGGAACCUCUUAUGGGGACCCAUGAAAGGGAACAAGAGUUCAGCUCUGCAGUCCUUUCCUUGGGUCUCUGCAGGCCCUCCCUCUCUUAAUUAGCAGCCUGGGCCUGCUCCCUGUCAGGCCUUUCCUCCUAGGUGCUGCAAAGUCGGUUUUAUCCCCAUCAGCACAGCCUCCUUUCCUCAGCCAGGAGAAUUUGUCAAUUUCUCUGUUCAAAUUUCGACCCAAUAAUUUCUCCCCUAAUGCACCCCUCAGGGUUCAUCAAGAGCCCACUUUCCCCAUCUUCUAUUUGUUAUUAUCUGGACUUUCUGGCUCUCAGCCCUUCAGGACUUUUCUUUGUCUGCCUCACAGCCUCCUCAGGCUUUUUUCUCUCAACUGUGGGCUGGGAUCCAAUCCCAAAUUGCCUUCCCU
rnacentral:lncRNA from 1 species